CUCAUGCAGCUGUACCACAUUGGGAUGUUUGAUCAGCUUCAUAGUCGAAAUCUCCCGCUUGAUCUGGAAGAACAAGAGGAGGUGAUUAAUAUUAAGCAUUCACUCUCCAAAGUCAGGCUAAACAGUAGAUGGGACGGUUCAAGCAGCUUGACAGCAGACAACUAAUGUUAGCACAUCGGAAUGUCUUCAACCUCAAUCUCUAGGGGGGGAAAAAGGAGCCCUAGGCGUGUGCAGUUUUUCCUUGUGAUCGAAAGGUCACGAUUUGGUCGAUGCCCCCAUCCUUCCUAAUUCUCCAAACCGAUCAAAAGUUUGAGCAAAGCUGGGAUACCCAGACGCAUUAUUUCCCAUCACAGACGUUCCUGUCGACCACGACACGACAGAGACGUCAAGGGGACCAUCCCACGUGACUGGCUGCGAACAAAUUAUGAGUCGCGGAGGCGAUCUUUCUAUGGCAGCUCCAGUAUAUUUAAAAAUUUCCCCGAGGUUACAUAUCAUAUGUUCCACAGCGGGCGGGCGGGCGAGGGGAGGGACGGAUCACGGACGGACAGACCUGCUCGACCAUCCUGUGGCGGAGGACGUGGUUGCGGUCGAGCACCUUGAUGGCGCGGACGGCGCCGGUGCGGGAGUCGCGCGCGUGCUUGACCUUGGCGAAGCUGCCCUCGCCGAUGGUCUUGCCGACCUCGUACGGGCCCACCCGCGUCUUCCUCGCCGCCGCCGCCGCUUUGGGCUCCGCCAUCCUUCCCUCCGUGGGGGAGGAGGGCGCGCGACGAGGAUCGCUGGGUCUGCGUUGGCUUCCUCGGCUGGUUCGACGAGACGAGACAGGGAGAGGGAGGCAGCGGUGUACGGUGG
rnacentral:misc_RNA from 1 species